rnacentral:rRNA from 1 species
UUCCGGUUGAUCCUGCCGGAGGCUACCGCUAUUGGAGUUCGAUUAAGCCAUGCGAGUCUAGAGGCUUCGGCCUCGGCGUACCGCUCAGUAACACGUGGGUAACCUGCCCUAUGGAGGGGAAUAACCUCGGGAAACUGAGAAUAAUGCCCCAUAGCCCACUACGCCUGGAACGGUGAGUGGGUCAAAGCUCCGGCGCCAUAGGAUGGGCCUGCGCCGUAUCAGGUUGUAGGGGGUGUAAAGUACCCUCUAGCCAUCAACGCGUACGGGUGUUGGGAGACAUUGCCCGGAGAUGGAUUCUGAGACACGAAUCCAGACCCUACGGGGUGCAGCAGGCGCGGAAACUUGGCAAUGCGAGAAAUCGUGACCAGGGAACUCCAAGUGCGUAGGGUAAGACCUACGCUUUUCUUGACUCUUCAAAGGUCUUGGAAUAAGGGGUGGGUAAGGACGGUGCCAGCCGCCGCGGUAAUACCGGCGCCUCAAGUGGUAGUCGCUUUUAUUGGGCCUAAAACGUCCGUAGCCGGUCUGGUGCAUUCGUGGGUAAAUCAACCCGCUCAACGGGUUGAAUUCUGCGAGCACGGCCAGACUUGGGACCGGGAGAGGUGUGGGGUACUCUCAGGGUAGGGGUAAAAUCCUGUCAUCCUGAGAGGACCACCUGUUGCGAAGGCGCCACACUAGAACGGAUCCGACGGCGCAGGGACGAAACCUAGGGGCACGAACCGGAUUAGAUACCCGGGUAGUCUA